AUGUGUUUCAAACCUUUCUAUAGUUGUAUGUCUGGGAACUCCAAUAUUAAUUUUCCAGAGUGAUUGAUUUUAAUUUCAUUUUUCAGUGAAUAAACACAAAUUAUAUUGGACAAGAUUCCAAUCUGAAGAUCAAUAAGUCUUAGUUCCACACUACUGGAAGCUAAGAAGAGAGUUUUGAGAGUCUAAAUAUCAUUUUGAGAAGAAUGACAACAUAUAAGCCAAUUGAAAGAGACUUUUUUGAAGGUAUGAUGUGAAGGC
rnacentral:lncRNA from 12 species